UCCAGGCUCUGAGCUGUUAGCACAGAGCCUGACGCUGGGCUCAAACUCACAGACCGCAAGAUCAUGACCUGAGCCGAAGUUGGCUGCCCAACCAGCUGAGCCACCCAGGCGCCCCAGCAGCACUUGUUAAAGAUGCAGACUUAGGAGUUCUACCCCAGACUUGCAGAAUUUGAAUCUCAAGGCCGGGGCACCAGAAAAUACAUUUUUAACAGGCACCCCCAGAUGAUACACGCUGAAAGUUAAAUACUAGCUCUCUGUAAUUUAUAUACUUCAUCCAUCAAAAAAAGGUGCAGGGCAUUCUGGCAGCCGAAGGGAGGGAAUGUAGUCUUCUAGAUUUUUUUAAAUGUUUACUUAUUUUUGAGAGAGAGAGAGAGCGCGAGCGGGGAAGAGAGAAAGGGAGAAACAGAAUCCAAAUGAAGCAAACUCCAGACUCUGAGCUGUCAGCACAGACCCGGAUGUGGAGCUCAGACCCACAAACCACCAGAUCACGACCUAAGCUGAAGUCGGACACUUGACCAACUGAGCCGCCCAGGUGCCCAGGGGAAUGUAGUCAUUCUACUCUUAGGGACCAAGUACAGGCUUUGUGCUUCCUUCUCUGCAUUCCUUUAGACAGCGCAAUCUCUACAGUCAUGGGAUGAAAAGAUUUAUAGAUUUUUAAAGAUUAAGUAGGAGCCUUGAGCAAAUGACAAGUGCUGUGUAAAUAUAAGGCUGUUAUAAAUUUAUAGUUAAUAUAAUUAAUGUACACUAUUAAUGUAAUGUACUCCUCCAUCCCCAUUCAUAUAUUUCCGUGAAACAAAUCAAACCAGAGAGCAUCAUCACAUUGUUCCCAUAGACUCCCUAGUCCCACCUUCCACACUGCUGUUGCCAUCCACCACCACUUUUCUCCUCCAAAUAUUACUCUUUCUGAUGAAGUGAGAGAUUUACUUUUCUUAGAAAUCUAUAUCCUCUUACUUGAGGAAAUUUAAGGUGGAAAAGAAGAGGGAUGUGCCAUCUUGAUCCAAUCUCUGGUAAUAACCUAAUUUUUAUUCCCCCAAAAUGUUAAUUUUCUUUUCUUUUCUUUUUUCCUUUUUUUUUUUUUUUUUUUAGAGGGGGGCAGAGAGAGAAAAUCCCAAGCGUUGAGCAGGGAGCUGGAUGUCGGGCUCGAUCUCACGACACUGAGAUCACGACCUGAGCUGAAAUCAAGAGUCGGAUGCUCAACCAACUGAGCCCCCCACCCCCUCCCCCAAAAUACUAAUUUAUCUUGAAGAUAACUAUGUUAUUUUCAUCCCUAAAUUCUGCCCAGCCUGGCAUUCAAGCAAUAUCUGCUAACUGAUGUGACACCCUGUAGCUACCCACAGGGUGACUCCAAUUGACUCAAGCCAAGAAGAUGAGACCAUCAUUGUCUGGAGGCCAUUGCGUCUUCCCUAGGAGCUUGGCCCUGCAUGGCCUAACCCCCCAGGCAUCUCUCUGGCUCUUGGAGGCUCCUCUUGUCCAUAGACAACCCACCAGAGAAGGGGGUAACUGUGAGCACUUAACAACUAACAUCUGAAGCAGUUGGGGAAAUGGAUACACCCGCUGACAGGAGAUCUGAACCGGGCAGCUGCUACCCUGUGGAGCAGGAAAAGUCACGUUUCCUGCAACUUGCUGAACCAUUUUGUUGCUGAAGGGCCCCCGGACCAGUGCACCCCAGAAAGAGCCGAGGUGAUAUAUUCUCCAGUAUUUUUGCUAAUGCUAUUAUGGUUUUGUGCGUUUAUAUGGUUUAGAUCAUUCAUUUAUCUGAAAUGUAGUUUUGUAAAAGGCGAAAGAUAAAUGCCUAACCUUAUUUUUUCCAAAAAUAUUAGCUCAUUGCCCUAGCAUCAUUUAUUAUCUUUUCUUCCAGAUAGGAAAUCUACCUUCAUCAAACACUACACUUGCACAUAUGGAUUAGAUCAAACCAUGCGAGAUUGUUGACAUCUAUCCUCUCCCUCAGCUUUAUUUUCCCAAUGAUCCCAGUCACUACUAGAUAUCAUAUUACAUAUUUGUUUGUUUGUCUCUGUCUCUCACUUGAAUGUAAGUUCAGUGAAGGCUGGAAUUUUGUUAUUUUUGUCAACCCCUGGCUCAUAGGUAUCUGCUAAUCGAAAUAACAAAAUUUAUCCUUGAACCUGUUAAUAUUCAUGGAUGAGCCUUUUAUUUUUUUUUUUCAACGUUUAUUUUUUGGGGACAGAGAGAGACAGAGCAUGAACGGGGGAGGGGCAGAGAGAGA